GCUGCCCCAGCCAUGUGGACAUGAGGCGCUUUCCCAUGGAGCAUCUACUUUUUAUCUUGGGACAUCUAAUGCCAGCAGCUUUGAAGUCUUAAAAUAAGAUCAAACAGCGCAGAAUUCCCUUCCCAGUAUUUAAGCCCAGUCGCCUCUGUCCAGAUGACUUCUAUAAUCCUGCCAGGCAGAACACCUCACCCUGCUGUUCCUGCUGCUUUUCUGCGUGUCCUUUGAUUGACCUGUGAAGAAGACUCCCAUCUGGAAGUGAAAAGCUGGCUUCUCCACCUUUGUUGCUAAGGGGCUAAAAUCACUGGCCCUGAGGGUAGAACCAUAAGAUGAAAGGAGUCUUGGAGUCAUCAUUUGGAAAGUGAUUUUCCCGAAGAACCACAAGAGCAAGAACUCUUAUAUAGAACCAUCGCACGGGAGACAACCCCAGGAGACUGCGUGACCCGGUUCUGCCAUCUUGGUAGGAAGGACAGUUAAAACCACCAAGGAUGGAUAGGCUUCUGACCAGCCCGAGGACAACGGCUCCAUGGAUGUGGCCAUUCUUCAAGUUAGUACACCUCGCCCACGUGAUCACGGGAAGCCCUGAUGAUAAGUACCAUGAAUUAUUUCACGAGAAUGAAUUAACAUACAUAAAUAUCUUUAGAAUAAUGGGCAUAUAUAAUAAAUAGU